UGUAGCGUGACAGUAGUACAACUUGCAACAUGGCUUCAGUACAACUGCUGCACACCUUGCAACGUAACUGCAGGAUGACUGCAGUAUGGAUAUCUGCACAAUCUAACAGCAGAAGACAUUAAAAUAUCUCGUUUACAAUUUCUUAAAUUUGGAGGGACAAUUUCAGUCAGUGUACUUCAAUCUGCAUUAUACUCUGCUAUAUGUCCUUUCGUUUUUUUUCAGUCACUUGGAUGUGGCUUUGAAGGACUCAGUUGUUCUCUCUACACAUGGCCAACAAUUUUGAUGGGAAGAAUCAAGUUGAUUCCAUUGAGCAUAGUACUUGACUGGCAUUUUAUUUUAUUAACCUCAAAAGAAUGAAAUGCAGAAUCAACCUUGGUAGGAUUUGAACUCAGAAUGUAAAGUGCCAGAACAAACACUGCAGAGCAUUUUGUCCAAUGACUUAAUGAUUCCAUCAGUUAACCACCUUUAUGUUCUGAGUGAAAACUUUACCAAAAUCAACUUUACCUUUCAUCCUUCAGUGAUUGAUAAAAUAAAAUAACAAUUAAGUACUGGAGUUGAGUUAAUUGACUAACUCCACCUCUCUAAUUUCUCACAUUGAGCCUCAAUUAUCAUUCUUCUUCUUCGCCUCCUCCUCCUCCU